AGCGUAUCUAUCUGCAUGCGCUGCACGACUACUUUCCCAAAGUUCCACUGCCUUUUCACCUGGUGACGGGUGACCACUUUCAGCUAUUUUACCGCCUAGGGCAGGUGUUGUCACCUUGGCCUCUUUGGUUGCAUGCAGCUUAGCAGACCACUUUAUCACCUCUAAAUAAAGUGAAGUUGUCUGAGAGUCUAUUCAGAAAUCCAUCCCUCACACCUAAGUUAUGAAGUUUUUCUUUCCUUUUUUCUUCUUACAUGAUCCUAGAAAUACUUUUAGUUUCAAAAUAGAAAUUCAGUUAUUCCAUGAUUCUAGCUUGUUGACAACCAUGGAACAAUUUCCUUAUCAGAAUGCUGCAAAGAGAAAAUCCCCUUCUUGUUGUGCGAGUACUUGGCAUCAAUGGUACAUGAUACCGUGUCUUCUGGAUGGACAUACGGUGGGCUCUGAUCAACUUGAUAUUGCCAAAGAGAAGCAUAUGACACGACACACGAGGGAAACUUCAACACAACCAUCCCCACUUGGGCACCAACUUAUCUCUCAAAGAUGAGGCGACCACGAAGAACCGACACUAGUUCUCUACUUAUGGACCAUUGAGUUCCUCUUCAAAUAUUCGAUCUACAUCAACCUCUCAGUACAUUUCACUGCAUACAGACCCCAUUGCAUAUAUGCUUUCAAAGCUGAGGUCAUGUUCUCUAUAAAUUUUGUACUUCAAUCUUGGCUGCAUAUAGUUUUAUGUUCUUUUUCUCUCUUUCUCACUUCUAGAGGGAAUUAAGUUUAUAAAGAGAUUCUUGAUUUGCCCGUGUGGUGAGAA